UUUACACCAUCAAUUUUGAGAUUAUGGAUGGUUGAGAUUAAUUAUCACAUUCCCAUGCAUUUUCUUGGGAACACGCAUUUCAGUCAUUGGAACAUACUUUUUUAUUUUUUUAUUUUUUUAUUUUUUAUUUUUUGCAUGGAAACACGGAUUUAUGUAUUAUAAAACCAAGAGAUUCAGCCAUUGAAGAGAGAGAAAAUAGAAAAUCUGGUUUCAUUUUAAUUUAGCCAUUGAAGAGAGAAAAUGGAAAAUAAAGAAAGCUUAUGAAAACGGAUGGUGUAAGAUGGGUUCUCAUCUUUAAAAUGGUUCUCACCUAAGCUAAGGGUUCUCACAUGAUCCCGUAUAUAUAUUUAAAAGAUUUAUUAUUUUGAAUUUUGCUUCAUUGCAUUUGUGUCUAUGGAUCUUCAAGCCUUUCAAAGUCAGCAGCAGUAGCAGUGAUAGAGGAAUAGAGGGCACUGCUAUUGAAUGUUACUUCCUCAACUAAUGUGCUAUAAAUUCAACUACUCUAUGAAUAUUAUGUCUUUUCAUGCUCUUAUUUUGGUUAUCAACUUUAUUGGUUUGAGAAAUUUAGCACAAUUAUCUACAGUAUAGAAUGAUAUACUUCGUAUUAAACAUCCCGAGUUUCCAACCUAAAAUCUUAAAAAGUGAGCUUCAUUAAAAAAAAAUUAAAAAAAUCAUACGAAGUAUUCGUAUAUUAUUUAAGGUCGGAGGGAGCAUGAGAGUAUCUUAUUGAUCGAUUCUUGUUCCUCGAAGUAAUGAUGAAUUCCACAGCUUUGUUCAUAAAUGAAGCUGAGAAGGGCCCAAGCAUUUAGGGCCUAAGAGAGGCAACACAGACUAGCCCAAUCUUAGUUUUUCAAUCUAUUGAAUUUGGGACUUGUUUUUAAGGCCCAUGGGCCGCUCAAUGGGUUGGCUAAUCACUUAAUCAGUUAAAUUGUGUCACUGACUCACUGUUUUUCUCUUUCUUCAAUUCUUGCCCCCCUCUCUUUCUCUCUGCAAAACCAAUUAAUGCAUAAUAUUUCUUCAAUUUUCCCGCAAUUUUUCUGGAUUAUCAAUCAUAGUUAAUUCCCCAGCAGCAGAACAAACACCCCCAUUAAUGGAAAUUUUCCAGAAGGUACAUGCCAAUUCACUGGACAAUGGUUAAUAGGUCGAGUGAUCUGCUUAUAUCUGCGGGAACUUGCCAUGCCAAAGUGGAAUCUUGUACUCGGGAAGGUUUAGCUCCAGGAUUACGAGGACUUGUUCAUUUCAUCACGGCAUCACCUAAGUCGAGCCUGAGGAAAACAGUAACUUAUUUGGGGUGGACUUACAGCUGUUAUGGAUGGUAUAUAAGCUACAGUAUUAUUUCCUCACCUUGUUCUUCAUUUAUAAAUUGGUGUAAGGACCUGAUAUUGCUGGCUUUUUACAUUAUGUUUAUCACAAAGACCUAAAUUGCAAAAAGGGAUAUGUUAGAUGAAAAUACUAGCCCUAAUACCACUAGAUUUAAAUUCCUGACAUUGCUGUCAUGUGUACUUAUUAUUAUCUCUUUACUUGAAUAUACAUGGAUAUUUUCUAGAUAUAUUUGGUUUUGGAUAAACUUGUUGCUGUGAAUGCACUCAUGUAAUCCUGCUCUGAUGCAUCAUAUAGUUGUGUAGUUAUGGUUAAUUCUUGUAAUGUUGGAUCUAAUAUGUCUAAGUAGCGACCUUUUUUAUUUUUAUGAAUACCUUUUAAGUGCUGAGAUGACCUCUAGACCAGUGACCUUAAGGGAAAAAAACAGGUUCAGUAUAAUUUUGAUUGAUCAGGGGCAUUCCGAGAAUCGAACUUGGGAGACCUCUUGCACCCAAAGCGAGAAUCAUACCACUAGACCAAAUGCCUAUUGCUACAACUAUGUUCAAUGAUUUCAUAUUCCUUAGCUCAUAUACCUGAACAUAUUCUUAAUAUGUUUUGUCUUUGAUGAGCUAGUUUGCUUAUAAUGGAUAGACUCCUGUGAUCCUGCCCUUGUGCUGCAAGCAGUUCUUUGGCUAAUUCUUUCAAAAUUUGGUCCAAUGUUCUCUAGUCAGUGAGCUUAAUCUUGGCCACUACAUUAGCAUGACCGACAAAAAAUAGGGAAAAAAAAUGGUUCAAAAAUUUGAUGGAUCAGGGGCAUUCCGAAAAUUGAACUCGGGACCUCUCGCACCCAAAGCGAGAAUCAUACCACUAGACCAAAUGCCCUGUUGUUGUUAUAGUUAUUGAUUAAUUGUCUAAUUAGGUUGGUCAUCUAAUCUUCCUGAAAUUCUCAAGUGGCAGGAAUGUUGGAUUUCCUCGUCCCUGUUACUUGCUCGUCAUCAUAUAUCCUACUAUCCUUCGUCUAUUACGGAGUAGCUUAUAUUUGUACCACUCUUGGGUUGCGCUCAUACCACAAUCUGGAAUUUGAGCAGUUUAAGUUUAAGUGUUAGAAAUGUACAUUAUUCCUGAGUGUAUGUUUCUGACUCUCUGUGUCUGUACUGAUGCAGCUUGUGAGUACUUAGAACUCAUUUCAUAAAUAGGUGAUGGAAAUUAAAAAAUGAAGGGGCAUUCCGAGAAUUGAACUCGGGACCUCUCGCACCCGAAGCGAGAAUCAUACCACUAGACCAAAUGCCCUCUUGUUAAUCGCGAUGUUUUUCUUUUACAAUUUAUACUUGUUUAAGAUUGCUAUGCUUCAUUCCCCAUGUAAUCUCUAUACAUUUAAGUAUGCUGGGAAAUUCUUUUUUUUUUUUUUAAACAACGGAACGAGCUUUUUAAUUAAUUAAAUUGAGGUCCGUCAAAGCUUGAAAAAAUUAGGGAAAGAAGCCGUACAAAUACGAGGCGAAUUAAUAUCGGUCUUCCAUCUUGCAACUAAAUAGGCUACCGUAUUAGUGGAUUCUUGGUGAAGAGAUUUGGCAACUUGACUACGUAGAGGUUAUGAAUUAUGAUGAAGAGAUUUCUGCCUUCAGCACAAGUGAUUUUACAUUGAAUCUAUUAACAUACUCGCAUUGAAAAAUAUGUGACUACAUACAAGUACAUAUUGCGUUACUCUAUUUAUUGGAUGAACUAAAGAUUGCAGUGGACAUGAGAGAUUAAAUUAUUGUUAAGAGAACUUUGACAAGUAGAUGCUAUUGGAAUUCACUAUGAUUUGUAUAUUUUCAGAUGAUUUAUAAGUAAUUUAAAAUUAAGUUUAUUGAAGAUAUUGCUAAAAAG